rnacentral:rRNA from 1 species
GACGAACGCUGGCGGCGUGCUUAACACAUGCAAGUCGAACGGAAAGGCCCUGCUUUUGUGGGGUGCUCGAGUGGCGAACGGGUGAGUAACACGUGAGUAACCUGCCCUUGACUUUGGGAUAACUUCAGGAAACUGGGGCUAAUACCGGAUAGGAGCUCCUGCUGCAUGGUGGGGGUUGGAAAGUUUCGGCGGUUGGGGAUGGACUCGCGGCUUAUCAGCUUGUUGGUGGGGUAGUGGCUGACCAAGGCUUUGACGGGUAGCCGGCCUGAGAGGGUGACCGGCCACAUUGGGACUGAGAUACGGACCAGACUCCUACGGGAGGCAGCAGGGGGGAAUAUUGCACAAUGGGCGGAAGCCUGAUGCAGCAACGCCGCGUGCGGGAUGACGGCCUUCGGGGUGUAAACCGCUUUCGCCUGUGACGAAGCGUGAGUGACGGUAAUGGGUAAAGAAGCACCGGCUAACUACGUG